CGGAUGAAAAAGAGCGAGCCUCCAACCAUCGCCGAUGGUUGGAGGCUCGCUCUUUGCUUUUUUUUAA
rnacentral:sRNA from 1 species